CGCACCUUGCGCCCUCUGGUAUUCCGGAGGGCACGCCCGUUCGAGUGUCUUGACAUCAUCACUUCCCCUGCUUUUUUGUGGGUGGAAUGUGGAUCUGGGGGUUUUUGCUGCGGCAGCGCGGCUCCCCUCGAAUACAUCGGCCUUGCCUCGCGGCGCGCCCUGACGUUGUAACUCCCUCGUCUCGGUUGCAUUGCGAGCUGGCCCCGACCUGCCUCUGGAGCGGCGGUCAACUCAUGUUCUUUGACAUCUGACCUCGAAUCGGGUGGGACUACCCGCUGAACUUAA
rnacentral:misc_RNA from 1 species